rnacentral:rRNA from 1 species
UACGGAGGGUGCAAGCGUUAAUCGGAAUUACUGGGCGUAAAGGGCGCGUAGGCGGCCGUAUAAGUCGGAUGUGAAAGCCCCGGGCUUAACUCGGGAAUUGCAUUCGAUACUGUGCGGCUAGAGUGUAGCAGAGGAAAGCGGAAUUCCCGGUGUAGCGGUGAAAUGCGUAGAUAUCGGGAGGAACAUCAGUGGCGAAGGCGGCUUUCUGGGUUAACACUGACGCUGAGGCGCGAAAGCGUGGGGAGCAAAC